AUGGGUGUUGGUUCCGCCGGCGCUGUUGUGUCGUGCGUCGUCCUAGGCUUAGCCCUGCUCGUCGUUGGGGCGGCGGCAGCCAAGAGCAGCCCAAACUCCUGCAAGGCGUUGUGCCGUGGCCGGGAGGACUACAAACCCUGCCACGCCGCGUGCCUGUGGGCGUGCAUCUGGGAUCCCAUGGGAGGACACAAGGAGAAACGGCAGUAG
rnacentral:rRNA from 1 species